ACAGAGGGUGCGAGCGUUAAUCGGAAUUACUGGGCGUAAAGCGCACGUAGAUGGCUUUGUAAGUCGGAUGUGAAAUCCCCGGGCUCAACCUGGGAACUGCAUUCGAAACUGCAUUGCUCGAAUGUGGAAGAGGGUAGCGGAAUUCCAGGUGUAGCGGUGAAAUGCGUAGAUAUCUGGAGGAACAUCAGUGGCGAAAGCGGCUUCCUGGUCCAACAUUGACAUUCAGGUGCGAAAGCGUGGGGAGCAAACAGGA
rnacentral:rRNA from 1 species